UCUGUAACUCCUGGCCUCAAGCAGUCCUCCCACCUCAGCCUCGCAAACUGCUGGGAUUAUGGGCAUGAGCCACCGUGCCCGGCCCAUCAGCUCUUACCUGAGUGUCCAGUCCUGCUGGUCUGUCCUGCCAGCCCCCACAAUGCCAGAACGCUGACUGGCACCCUGCCCGCACCACCAGCCGCUCUCUCGGGCCCAGCGUGAUGAUGGGUCGUAGCCGCUGCCGAUGCUCCUUCCUUCUGAUCCCAGAGGCAGCUUCAGUAUCAUCUGCAGGUUGGGGGGACUGUGAUCAUUUGGAGUCAGCACUUGAGAGGAAACGUGCUUGCUCUUCUAAUUGUAGUGGAUAUUCUUCCUGGAUGUUGACUAAUAAAACAAAUGGACGUUCUCAUGUUA